ensembl:lncRNA
CGCCGCCAGGGGGCGAUAGCUCCCCAGCGCAGCUGACUGAGGGGCGGCGGCGUCCCGUGCGCCGUCCCGGCACCUGCGUAGCGCUUCCAACGUGGAGUUUCGAGCUUGCCGUCCCGCAGUGUCACACAGUCACCCACGUGGGGCUCGUCCCGAGAAGGAACGUCUCCUGAGGUUGCACGCAGCACCCCGCACAGCCUUCCGCUGGCUGCCUAGGCGGGAGGUGGCACGUCCUCACAGGCACUGCCUUCCCUGCCCCUCACAGAACAUCACCGUAGCAGAGGGCACACAGAGGAUAUGAGCCCAGCCUGGUGCUGACUGCACCGUGCCCCGCUCCUCAGCCAUCAUCGCCAUCUUGGCCACCUCAGCACGUCACAGGGAUCAAAGCAAACCUCUCUGAACGGUUCUGCUCUCACCACUAGUUACACAGUUUCCAUUCAGGAGGAAGCUACAAGGCACAGGCUAGUUCUUGCUGGCAGCACAGCCAGCACCGUUCUGAGCCGGGAUCUCUCUUUGGAGGCCACUGCAGCAGGAGCCGGGGCAGGCUGGGGAUGUGUGGUAGCAGCCGUUGGCACAGGGUUACCUCAGCGUCCUGUCAGGGCACUGAGCGCCACAGAGCAGAUGGGAUCCCAGUCUUCCCGCCAUUUCUAUGACUGUAAAACUUUCCCAAAGUGCAAAAUUUCAUGCUUUUUGGAGAAGAAUCAAAGCUACCAGGCUUUCUUGAUGAAAAUAUUAAUUGCUAGUGCCAGGCAAGGACCUGGGCUCCAGAAGCUCCCCCAGCCGUGGCCUCAGCACCUGGUGAAAUGGCGAUGCUCAUCCUCUUUGCUCUCCUCCGCCUCCAGACGUCCCAGCCAGGUGCCAUAAUACGCAGCUGUCAUGAACUCAGAAGUUAACAAGCCCAAAGCAUUUGCACUGCUAGCUGUCAUGCCAUCACCUGCUAUUUGCCAUGACACCUGUGCUGUGAUGCAUCUAGCAGAUACAGAUUUUCCUGCAGAAGACUGAUUUUGAUGGUAGCAGUUGUAUUCAUCUGUAACAUCACUGUUCAGGCAUUUAAUUCAUGAUUCAAGACACAGUUGUCAGAGGAACAAGCCUCUGCUUAAGGCUGUCAGACUGAAACUGCUCAAUUAUCACAACUGUGUUAGCAUGUUUUACAUCUUUUUUUUGUUUGUAUUGUAACCAAUACGAUGUAGUAUUGUUCUCAGUCUUAUCUGUGUUCCUUGCCUGUUUGUCCUCAUGUGUCCAACUCAGUGUCUUUUGUCUCAGAGUUCCAGAAACAACCAGUCUAGUUCUUGAAGAAAAUCCCCUCUCAAUCCUAACAUCCUCCCAUCUGAGGGCUAGGUAUGAAUUUUGCAGACCAACUAGCAUUAAUAGCUUGUAUUACAUUUUGCAAAGUCUCACCUUGUGCUGUGGCCUCUGCAAUGACAGACCACAUCCUGCCUGAGACUAGGCGUGUAAAUACACUGAAGAAAAACUUUUCCAGUGUUAGAUUCUGCUGUGCAUUCUCCCUCUGUAUAAAGUUUAGUCAGUGCUGGUAUGCGUAGAUAACACAAGCAUUACACGUGCAUACCCCUAGGAAGGAAUAUGUAUCUGUGUAUUUAUAUAUAUAUAUAUAUAUAUAUAUAUUUGUGUGUUUACAUACAAAAAUAUACAUACACACAGAACAGUGGGAUAGGUGAGUGCUAUCAACACUUCGCUAAAUGCUUUCCAGCUUUUGUUCUCUCAUUCUCUUAAAGAUAUUCUGGAUUUGGGCCAGCAGAGGCAGAAGGAACCUGCCCUGCUGUUCUUAUACUGCAAGUAUGGUGAAUCCUGGCUUUUUUGAUACCUUCCAGCUGCAACUCAAGUCCUUGCAUUACUGUUCCAUCCCUUAAACAUAUUAAAUCAUAGAGAUGGUGAAAGAAGUGUCCAAAAGCAACUCAUCUACCCAAGCAGGAGUAAGCUCCCUGCUGCAUAGCAAAAGCUGUACUAAAGAAACACUGACAAUAGAUCUUUUUCCUUGAGGCCUAUUAAGCAGAGAUUUCUUCUUGUUCAGCAUAGCUCAAUGUGCAGUUCCAGAAGCUCUAUUUAAUUUCAUAAACAGUUCUCAUGCUUUUUUGGAGAAAAGUGAUAGUUCAGCUGCUCUAGGGUCCUUUAACAUCUCACUCUUUAGCAACAUUUAUUUUGUUUUUCUGGUUUCCAGAUUGCAAUUGUUUUCUAUAGCCUUGAUACAAUUUUAUGUUUUUUAGUGUGUGUUGCUGAGAAGUCCAAGAGAAGUUUCAUUAGUGAGAUGAUUCUUAAUUAUAAAAAAGAUAAACCAGCCUUCCAAGACAGAAUCCUUCCUCAGAAGUGCUAUGUGUGACUCUCCUUCUUUUAACCCAGGGUAGAAUAUUUUAAGGAGCUGCAAUUAACAUGGUGGAUGUGUGCGAAAUAGCUGGUUUACCAACAGCAUUCCUGCUGGAGUCUUUGAACAUGCAUUGCGUGCAUGAAAAUGAUCUGGUGAUUUGGUAUAAAAAACUGCUUCUUUUUCUUUUGGAACUGGUAGAGUAUGGUGCACUUUUGUUGUUUGUGUAUGGGCCUGCUCCUUAUUAAACCCAUGGUCCUUUUUCCAGUAACCACUUCAGUGCUGUGAAUCAGC